rnacentral:rRNA from 1 species
UCCACGCCGUAAACGAUGUCUACUAGCCGUUGGGAGACUUGAUCUCUUAGUGGCGCAGUUAACGCGAUAAGUAGACCGCCUGGGGAGUACGGCCGCAAGGUUAAAACUCAAAUGAAUUGACGGGGGCCCGCACAAGCGGUGGAGCAUGUGGUUUAAUUCGACGCAACGCGAAGAACCUUACCAGGUCUUGACAUCCUAGAAACUUAGCAGAGAUGCUUUGGUGCCUUCGGGAA